GGAUGAAGAACGCAGCGAAAUGCGAUACGUAAUGUGAAUUGCAGAAUUCAGUGAAUCUUCGAGUCUUUGAACGCACAUUGCGCCCCCUGGUAUUCCGGGGGGCAUGCCUGUCCGAGCGUCAUUGCUGCCCUCAAGCACGGCUUGUGUGUUGGGCCUCCGUCCUCCUCCCGGGGGACGGGCCCGAAAGGCAGCGGCGGCACCGCGUCCGGUCCUCGAGCGUAUGGGGCUUCGUCACCCGCUCUUGUAGGCCCGGCCGGCGCUUGCCGACACAUCAAUCUUUUUUCCAGGUUGACCUCGGAUCAGGUAGGGAUACCCGCUGAACUUAAGCAUAUCAAUAAGCGGAGGA
rnacentral:misc_RNA from 1 species